CGGGGUGAGUAAUGUCUGGGAAACUGCCUGAUGGAGGGGGAUAACUACUGGAAACGGUAGCUAAUACCGCAUAACGUCGCAAGACCAAAGAGGGGGACCUUGGGCCUCUUGCCAUCGGAUGUGCCCAGAUGGGAUUAGCUAGUAGGUGGGGUAAUGGCUCACCUAGGCGACGAUCCCUAGCUGGUCUGAGAGGAUGACCAGCCACACUGGAACUGAGACACGGUCCAG
rnacentral:rRNA from 1 species